AACAAACGCUGGCGGCGUGCCUAACACAUGCAAGUCGUACGAGAAAGGGUCCUUCGGGGCCUGAGUAAAGUGGCGCACGGGUGAGUAACGCGUGGAUAAUCUGCCCUUCAGUUGGGAAUAACUCAUCGAAAGGUGGGCUAAUACCGAAUAAUGCUGUGAGACCUCGGUUGAUCAGCCAAAGAGAGCCUCUGCUUGCAAGCCCUCGCUGAAGGAUGAGUCCGCGUACCAUUAGCUAGUUGGUAGGGUAAUGGCCUACCAAGGCGACGAUGGUUAGCUGGUCUGAGAGGAUGAGCAGCCACACUGGAACUGAGACACGGUCCAGACGCCUACGGGAGGCAGCAGUGAGGAAUCUUGCGCAAUGGGGGCAACCCUGACGCAGCAACGCCGCGUGAGUGAGGAAGGUCUUCGGAUCGUAAAGCUCUGUCGGAUGGAAAGAACCGCAUAGGGGUAAACAGCCCCUGUGUCUGACGGUACCAUCAAAGGAAGCACCGGCUAACUCCGUGCCAGCCGCCGCCGUAAGAC
rnacentral:rRNA from 1 species